CGUGAGGUGUAGUCGCGGCAACCAGGAGGUGGGCGUGUGGUAACGCGGCGCGCGGGAGGGUGGCUUGAAAGGGUCUUUAUGAACCCUAGGGAAAGGCCGUCUGGUAGGAACUCCAUUUCAAGACCUUUUAAAGUGAGACCUGCAUAUGUUGAAAGAGUUUCAGAGAGUGAAGCUGGGUUCUUAGAAGCUGGAAUGUCCCAGCAGAAUGUAGAAAUGCGAAAAAUUCGGCACAGUAGUCUAAAGUGCACCCACCACUAGAAUUUGAACAUCCUAAGAACAGGUAUUUUUGUCUCUGCUUUGCUGAUGUAUCCUCAGCAACCGGAACUGCCUGACAUCUGAUCCUUUCUGUGAGACACCAGGCUGUUGAGGAAGAAUCUAUGGCAACAUUGUAUCUAUUAAUAUACAGCUUCUGUAUUUAUCAGGAAAUCCUGGGUGAAAUUUGGUAGUGGGUCCAAUUGCCUGCGUACUUUACUUUGAAAUAAAAUAAUCAGAAAUUUACCUUGUUCCAUAA
rnacentral:lncRNA from 1 species